rnacentral:lncRNA from 1 species
CUAGUGUCGAAAGAAAUCAAGCAAGCAGCCUGUAAUUCAGUUAUUGUCGUUGGUUCAUGUCUUUCAAAGUAGUUGUUAGUUAACAUGGUUAAUUGCAUUGUUAUAAAUAAGCCUUUUUGUCUUGUCACACAUUUUUAUGGCAAAGCCUUUUAUAGCUGACAACAUUGUAUUAAUUGCUCCUAUCUUUGUCAUUUGAACUCUGUUUCAUACUUGUCUAAUUGGCAAUCAAACC